rnacentral:rRNA from 1 species
CGGCCACAUUGGGACUGAGACACGGCCCAAACUCCUACGGGAGGCAGCAGUAGGGAAUCUUCCACAAUGGACGCAAGUCUGAUGGAGCAACGCCGCGUGAGUGAAGAAGGUCUUCGGAUCGUAAAGCUCUGUUGUUGGUGAAGAAGGAUAGAGGCAGUAACUGGUCUUUAUUUGACGGUAAUCAACCAGAAAGUCACGGCUAACUACGUGCCAGCAGCCGCGGUAAUACGUAGGUGGCAAGCGUUGUCCGGAUUUAUUGGGCGUAAAGCGAGCGCAGGCGAAUGAUAAGUCUGAUGUGAAAGCCCACGGCUCAACCGUGGAACUGCAUCGGAAACUGUCAUUCUUGAGUGCAGAAGAGGAGAGUGGAACUCCAUGUGUAGCGGUGGAAUGCGUAGAUAUAUGGAAGAACACCAGUGGCGAAGGCGGCUCUCUGGUCUGCAACUGACGCUGAGGCUCGAAAGCAUGGGUAGCGAACAGGAUUAGAUACCCUGGUAGUUCAUGCCGUAAACGAUGAGCGCUAGGUGUUGGGGACUUUCCGGUCCUCAGUGCCGCAGCAAACGCGUUAAGCGCUCCGCCUGGGGAGUACGACCGCAAGGUUGAAACUCAAAGGAAUUGACGGGGGCCCGCACAAGCGGUGGAGCAUGUGGUUUAAUUCGAAGCAACGCGAAGAACCUUACCAGGUCUUGACAUCCUGCGCUACACCUAGAGAUAGGUGGUUCCCUUCGGGGACGCAGAGACAGGUGGUGCAUGGCUGUCGUCAGCUCGUGUCGUGAGAUGUUGGGUUAAGUCCCGCAACGAGCGCAACCCUUGUCUUUAGUUGCCAUCAUUAAGUUGGGCACUCUAGAGAGACUGCCGGUGACAAACCGGAGGAAGGUGGGGAUGACGUCAAGUCAUCAUGCCCCUUAUGACCUGGGCUACACACGUGCUACAAUGGGCAGUACAACGAGAAGCGAACCCGCGAGGGUAAGCGGAUCUCUUAAAGCUGUUCUCAGUUCGGACUGCAGGCUGCAACUCGCCUGCACGAAGCUGGAAUCGCUAGUAAUCGCGGAUCAGCACGCCGCGGUGAAUACGUUCCCGGGCCUUGUACACACCGCCCGUCACACCACGAGAGUUUGUAACACCCGAAGUCGGUGANGUAACCUUUUGGAGCCAGCCGCCUAAGGUGGGACAGAUGAUUGGGGUG